UUUUUUAUUUACUUUAACAUUUAUCAGUAUUGCACAAUUAAUAUUUAUGUCUCUAUAUACUGUAUAUAAUUAUUACAGAAUAUUUUAUAUAUAUAUAUAUAUAUAUGUGUGUGUGUGUGUGUGUGUGUGUGUGUGUGUGUGUGUGUGUUCAAUUUUAAUCAUUUUAAACCAUUUAUUAUAAAAAAAUUAUAAUUAAAAUUAAAGUUAAAUCUAAUAUAUCUAAUUAAAUUAAAAUUUAGGAAGUUCUAAAUAUAGAAUAAAUAUAUAAUGACAUAACAUUCAUAAAUAUUUAAAUUGUAAUGUAUUUAAAUAUUUAUUGUGUGUGCAUAUAUAUAUAUAUAUAUAUAUGUAUAUAUAUAUAUAUAUACACACACACACACACACACACACACACAUACAGUUUUGCGUUGCAUAAAAAAAGUAAAAUAUAGAUGUAAAAUGAAAAAUAUAAAUAUAUUAUACUGAUAGUAUAUUAAUUUAUACUGAUAAGUUAUAUAUAAAUAUUGAAGUAAUUCUACAAAUAUAAUUUAGUUGUUUUUAUGUUUAUUAAUAUAAUUGCUGUGGUGAUUUAGUGAUGAUGGCAGAGAAAGUGGAAGUUUGCAUUACUUCCCUGAGAGCAGCAGGAGAAAGCCUCGACUGUAUUUUGUUCUCUGUACCCAGGUGCAUCGAAAUCCUGCAAGAUGAGCAUGUGAACCAAACACGACAUGCGGAUUCCACAAUUCAGACCAGAUGCCAAAAUAGCAGUCAGACGAUUCCACCCGCACGCAGAAGCCAAACCAGAGCCGUCACGCCAUUCAGUCAUGAAGUUUAUUUUGAAUUGGAAACAGCAGCAGCUGAGAAGCGCUUGACUCGUGUGCGGCCUGCAGACUCUAGAUGCAUUAAGCAGGUGAGCGCGUGUGUGUUUGCGGCUCUGUUGCCCCAGACAGGGCAGGGGCCUUGGGGUCAGAAACACAGGCCUCAUUUAGGAAGUGGUUCAUGACCAGCCUGGAAACUAUUAACAGGGCUGGUCUGUAUGCCACGCCACUGUUAGACCCAUUCAACUACCUCUACACUGGCCCAAACGGGACCUGAAUGCACUGAUUUUAGGGUGAAAUCUGAACUACAGAUUUCGGAUCUAUAGCACUUUUCACAUUGUUUUAAAGCAGCUGUAAAGUCUUAAUGUUAAUGUUUAUAAUAUCUUAAUAUUUUCAUGAUUUAUAGCCGCAUAGAUUAGAGCUGGGCGAUGAUAGAGUUUACAUUUUGCAACGAUAAAAGCAGUCAGGCAGUUGAGAUUUGCUGUAUAGUAAAUAUCACUUUACGUGAGUUCACUGUAUGUGUGUGUGCAGAUAAAGUUGGAUAAACUUGUAUUUACAACUUCAUAUAAAGAGCUGGGUGAUAAUUUAGUCACAUUUUUGCAACGAUAUGAACAAUGACAUCUGCACAGAUUUGCUAUAGCGUAUGUAGUUAUUAGCAGACUUGUCGCCACACCAGAAUUUUUGUAGUUACACUGAAAAAAAUUUGGAAGCAGUUUUCACUCAGAAAUUGCUGGUAAAUUUUACAAAAAUAA
ensembl:lncRNA